UAACAUAUAUUCAAACUGUUA
rnacentral:piRNA from 1 species